CUACGGGAGGCAGCAGUGGGGAAUAUUGCACAAUGGGCGAAAGCCUGAUGCAGCGACGCCGCGUGAGUGAAGAAGUAUUUCGGUACGUAAAGCUCUAUCAGCAAGGAAGAAAAUGACGGUACUUGACUAAGAAGCCCCGGCUAACUAACGUGCCAGCAGCCGCG
rnacentral:rRNA from 1 species